CCACUGUGAUGGCGGAUUCCGGAACCGUUCACAGUCUCCACCAGAAAUCUUGUGUUGAUCAGUUCCUUCCUUGGAUGUCUGAGCAA
rnacentral:snoRNA from 1 species